UACAGAGGGUGCGAGCGUUGUCCGGAAUCACUGGGCGUAAAGGGCGCGUAGGUGGUUUGAUAAGGGUGUGGUGAAAGUCCGGGGCUCAACCCCGGAUCUGCCGUGCCGACUGUCAAACUCGAGGACUGUAGAGGCAGACGGAAUUCCGGGUGUAGAGGUGAAAUUCGUAGAUAUUGGGAAGAACACCAGUGGCGAAGGCGGCUAACUGGUCCAGAUCUGACGCUGAGGUGCGAAAGCGUGGGGAGCAAACAGG
rnacentral:rRNA from 1 species